AGAUAAAAGCCCUUUGGCCGAGGGUCACCUCCGUCCUUGUUGUUCACUUGAGAGCAGUGGAGAGGAAAACGGUCCCCACGGGCGGACUUUGGCUUCUGGAGCCGCGGAGCCCAGCGGUCCGGGCCUCCCCGAGCUCCGCCCGUGAGAAAAGCCUAGUUCCUGAGCCAGUGGAGUCGGUCCUCUCGCCCCUCCCGCUCCCACGCGGGUCCCCCCUUCAGCCACCGCUACUGCCACCACCUCGGUUCCACCCAAUCGAUUUUUGCUGCAUGUCAACACUUAUUACCGUGAGAAACUGAAGCCUCCUGCCAACAGCCAUGUAUGUGAGCUUGAAAGUGGAUUCUCCAACUCUCUAGAUGACUGCAGCCCUGGUCACUAACUUCACCCCAAGUCUGAGCUGCUCCGAGAUUCCUGACCCUCAAAACUGAGUGAAAUAAAUAUUUGUUGUUUCAACAAGUUAAA